rnacentral:rRNA from 1 species
CCAGACUCCUACGGGAGGCAGCAGUGGGGAAUAUUGCACAAUGGGGGAAACCCUGAUGCAGCGACGCCGCGUGAGCGAGGAAGUAUUUCGGUAUGUAAAGCUCUAUCAGCAGGGAAGAAAAUGACGGUACCUGACUAAGAAGCCCCGGCUAACUACGUGCCAGCAGCCGCGGUAAUACGUAGGGGGCAAGCGUUAUCCGGAUUUACUGGGUGUAAAGGGAGCGUAGACGGAAUUGCAAGUCUGAUGUGAAAAUCCGGGGCCCAACCCCGGGACUGCUCUGGAAACUGCGUCGCUGGAGUACGGGAGGGGCAGGCGGAAUUCCUGGUGUAGCGGUGAAAUGCGUAGAUAUCAGGAGGAACACCGGUGGCGAAGGCGGCCUGCUGGACGGCAACUGACGUUGAGGCCCGAAAGCGUGGGGAGCAAACAGGAUUAGAUACCCCGGUAGGC